rnacentral:rRNA from 1 species
AUGCAAGUCGAGCGAGGGGAGUUCUUCGGAACAAACCUAGCGGCGGACGGGUGAGUAACACGUGGGCAACCUGCCUCAAAGAGGGGAAUAGCCUCCCGAAAGGGAGAUUAAUACCGCAUAAAGUUAUUUUUUCGCAUGAAGAGAUAACCAAAGGAGCAAUCCGCUUUGAGAUGGGCCCGCGGCGCAUUAGCUAGUUGGUGAGGUAACGGCUCACCAAGGCGACGAUGCGUACCCGACCUGAGAGGGUGAUCGGCCACAUUGGAACUGAGACACGGUCCAGACUCCUACGGGAGGCAGCAGUGGGGAAUAUUGCGCAAUGGGGGAAACCCUGACGCAGCAACGCCGCGUGAGCGAUGAAGGUCUUCGGAUUGUAAAGCUCUGUCUUUUGGGACGAUAAUGACGGUACCAAAGGAGGAAGCCACGGCUAACUACGUGCCAGCAGCCGCGGUAAUACGUAGGUGGCAAGCGUUGUCCGGAUUUACUGGGCGUAAAGAGUAUGUAGGCGGACAUUUAAGUCAGAUGUGAAAUUCCCGGGCUUAACCUGGGAGCUGCAUUUGAUACUGGGUGUCUAGAGUGCAGGAGAGGAAAGUGGAAUUCCUAGUGUAGCGGUGAAAUGCGUAGAGAUUAGGAAGAACACCAGUGGCGAAGGCGACUUUCU